GCAUAUCAAUAAGCGGAGGAAAAGAAACCAACAGGGAUUGCCUCAGUAACGGCGAGUGAAGCGGCAUCAGCUCAAAUUUGAAAUCUGGCGUCUUCGGCGUCCGAGUUGUAAUUUGUAGAGAGUGUCUCGGGUGAGCACCGGUCCAAGUUCCUUGGAACAGGAUAUCAGAGAGGGUGAGAAUCCCGUAUCUGGCCGGCCCCCUCCCCCGCUGUGAGACCUCUUCGACGAGUCGAGUUGUUUGGGAAUGCAGCUCUAAAUUGGAGGUAAAUUCCUUCUAAAGCUAAAUACUGGCCAGAGACCGAUAGCGCACAAGUAGAGUGAUCGAAAGAUGAAAAGCACUUUGAAAAGAGAGUCAAACAGUACGUGAAAUUGUUGAAAGGGAAGCGUAUGCGGCCAGACUUGUCCCCAGUUGCUCAGCCCGUCUUUUGGCGGGUGUACUCUUCUGGGGCCAGGCCAGCAUCGGUUUGGGCGGUCGGAUAAAGACGUCGGGAAUGUGGCCCCCCUCGGGGGGUGUUAUAGCCCGGCGUGCAAUGCGUCCAGCCCGGACCGAGGCCCGCGUUCUGCUAGGAUGCUGGCGUAAUGGCCGUAUACGGCCCGUCUUGAAACACGGACCAAGGAGUGCAACAUCUAUGCGAGUGUUUGGGUGUCAAGCCCGGACGCGAAAUGAAAGUGAACGGAGGUGGGAGCUUAGGCGCACCAUCGACCGAUCCUGAUGUCUUCGGAAGGAUUUGAGUAAGAGCAUAGCUGAUGCGACCCGAAAGAUGGUGAACUAUGCGUGAAUAGGGUGAAGCCAGAGGAAACUCUGGUGGAGGCUCGCAGCGGUUCUGACGUGCAAAUCGAUCGUCAAA
rnacentral:rRNA from 1 species